CAGUCGCCGCGGGAAUACGUAGGGUGCAAGCGUUAAUCGGAAUUACUGGGCGUAGAGCGUGCGCAGGCGGUUUGUUAAGACGGAUGUGAAAUCCCCGGGCUCAACCUGGGAACUGCAUUCGUGACUGGCAAGCUAGAGUAUGGCAGAGGGGGGUGGAAUUCCACGUGUAGCAGUGAAAUGCGUAGAGAUGUGGAGGAACACCGAUGGCGAAGGCAGCCCCCUGGGCCAAUACUGACGCUCAUGCACGAAAGCGUGGGGAGCAAACAGGAUUAGAUACCCCGGUAGUCCCUGUCUCUUAUAC
rnacentral:rRNA from 1 species